UACGGGGGGGGUAAGCGUUGUUCGGAAUUACUGGGCGUAAAGGGCUCGUAGGCGGCCAACUAAGUCAGACGUGAAAUCCCUCAGCUUAACUGGGGAACUGCGUCUGAGACUGGAUGGCUUGAGUGCAGGAGAGGAACGCGGAAUUCCAGGUGUAGCGGUGAAAUGCGUAGAUAUCUGGAGGAACACCCGUGGCGAAGGCGGCUCUCUGGGACGGUACUGACGCUGAGACGCGAAAGCGUGGGGAGCGAACAGG
rnacentral:rRNA from 1 species